GGAAUGAACGCUGGCGGCGUGCCUAAUACAUGCAAGUCGAGCGACUGAUUAGAAGCUUGCUUCUAUGACGUUAGCGGCGGACGGGUGAGUAACACGUGGGCAACCUGCCUGUAAGACUGGGAUAACUUCGGGAAACCGAAGCUAAUACCGGAUAGGAUCUUCUCCUUCAUGGGAGAUGAUUGAAAGAUGGUUUCGGCUAUCACUUACAGAUGGGCCCGCGGUGCAUUAGCUAGUUGGUGAGGUAACGGCUCACCAAGGCAACGAUGCAUAGCCGACCUGAGAGGGUGAUCGGCCACACUGGGACUGAGACACGGCCCAGACUCCUACGGGAGGCAGCAGUAGGGAAUCUUCCGCAAUGGACGAAAGUCUGACGGAGCAACGCCGCGUGAGUGAUGAAGGCUUUCGGGUCGUAAAACUCUGUUGUUAGGGAAGAACAAGUACAAGAGUAACUGCUUGUACCUUGACGGUACCUAACCAGAAAGCCACGGCUAACUACG
rnacentral:rRNA from 1 species